rnacentral:rRNA from 1 species
UUUGGGGGAAGAACAACAGGGAUUGCCCCAGUAACGGCGAGUGAAGCGGCAACAGCUCAAAUUUGAAAUCUGGCCCCUCCGGGUCCGAGUUGUAAUUUGUAGAGGAUGCUUUUGGUGAGGUGCCGCCCGAGUUCCCUGGAACGGGACGCCACAGAGGGUGAGAGCCCCGUCUGGCUGGCCACCGAGCCUCUGUAAAGCUCCUUCGACGAGUCGAGUAGUUUGGGAAUGCUGCUCAAAAUGGGAGGGAUAUGUCUUCUAAAGGUAAAUAUUGCCCGGAGAGCGAUGGCGCUCCACUAAAGGGGUCCGCAGAUCUUGCG